rnacentral:rRNA from 1 species
UACGGAAGGGGCAAGCGUUGUUCGGAAUCAUUGGGCGUAAAGGGCGCGUAGGUGGUUCUGUAUGUCUACCGUGAAAGCAUACAGCUCAACUGUAUUUUGUCGGUAGAAACUGCAGGACUUGAGGUUGGGGAGGGGCUGGUGGAAUUCCCUGUGUAGCGGUGAAAUGCGUAGAGAUGGGGGAGAACACUCGUGGCGAAGGCGACUACCUGGCCUGUUCUUGACGCUGAGGCGCGAAAGCUAGGGGAGCAAACGGG